rnacentral:rRNA from 1 species
GAUGAACGCUAGCGAUAGGCUUAACACAUGCAAGUCGAGGGGCAGCAUGGUCUUAGCUUGCUAAGACUGAUGGCGACCGGCGCACGGGUGCGUAACGCGUAUGCAACUUGCCUCACAGAGGGGGAUAACCCGUCGAAAGACGGACUAAUACCGCGUACACUUGGGAUAGGGCAUCCUGACCCAAGGAAAUGAAAUUCGCUGUGAGAUAGGCAUGCGUCCCAUUAGCUAGUUGGUGAGGUAACGGCUCACCAAGGCGACGAUGGGUAGGGGAACUGAGAGGUUGAACCCCCACACUGGUACUGAGACACGGACCAGACUCGUACGGGAGGCAGCAGUGAGGAAUAUUGGUCAAUGGGCGAGAGCCUGAACCAGCCAAGUCGCGUGAAGGAUGACUGUCUUAUGGAUUGUAAACUUCUUUUAUACGGGAAUAACAAGAGUCACGUGUGGCUCCCUGCAUGUACCGUAUGAAUAAGCAUCGGCUAACUCCGUG